CGUUGAGGCGGUUUCGUAAGUUGGACGUUAAAGCCCCGAGCUCAACUCGGGGAGGUCGUUCAAUACUGCGAGACUUGAGGACAGCAGAGGGGGGUGGAAUUUCCGGUGUGUGGUGAAAUGCGUAGAUAUCGGAAGGAACACCAGUGGCGAAGGCGGCCCCCCUGGGCUGUUCCUGACGCUGAAGGCGAAAGCUAGGGGAGCGAACG
rnacentral:rRNA from 1 species